AGAGAGAGACAUGCGCGCAUAUCAAUAAGCGGAGGAAAAGAAACUAACAAGGAUUCCCUUAGUUAACGGCGAGUGAAGCGGGAAGAGCUCAAAUUUGAAAUCUUCAAGGGUUCUACCUUUACGAAUUGUAGUUUAAAGAAGUGUUUUCUGUUGAGGUUUUGGUAAAAGUUCUUUGGAAUAGGACAUCAUAGAGGGUGAGAAUCCCGUAUUUGACCAUUACUUUCAACUUUGUGAUACACUUUCAAAGAGUCGGAUUGUUUGGGAAUGCAGUCCAAAAUGGGUGGUAAAUUUCAUCUAAAGCUAAAUAUUGGCGAGAGACCGAUAGCGAACAAGUACCGUGAGGGAGAGAUGAAAAGAACUUUGAAAAGAGAGUUAAACAGUACGUGAAAUUGUCAAAAGGGAAGCGUUUGACACCAGUGUUGUUUUCUCGAAAAUCAAUUAAAAAAGGCAGGAUUUUGUGUUGUAUUGACUUUAUCAGCUUUCUGCACUCUUUUCUUGUCUUUUUUAAUGCACUUUUCGUUUAACAAGUCAACAUCAAUUUCUUUUGUUGUAAAAGGGUCAUUGGAAGGUGGCUUUCUUUUCGGAGAAAGUGUUUAUAGCCUUUGGCCUCUGCAAUCGGAGAGAUUGAGGUCUGCAGCGUAGAUCCUUCGGGGUUAGAUACAUUUGUGCUAAGUUAUAGCCUUUCAUAGACAACUUGUUGACUAUGAUCAGUCAUGUAGCUUACUCGCUUAUGCUAUUUUACCUACGCUUAGGAUGUUGAUGUGAUACUGCGAGCA
rnacentral:rRNA from 1 species